GUACGAUAGUAUAGUGGUAACACUGACGCCCUUCAUGUGGGAGACCAGGGUUCGAUUCCCAGUCAGGGCA